UCUAGAGGCUUCGGCAAUGGGGGCAACCCUGACCGAGCGACGCCGCGUGAGUGAGGAAGGUUUUCGGACCGUAAAGCUCUGUCGAGCGGGAAGAAAUGUAUCGUGGCUAAUAUCCAUGAUAUUUGACGGUACAGCUAAAGGAAGCACCGGCUAACUCCGUGCCAGCAGCCGCGGUAAUACGGGGGGUGCAAGCGUUGUUCGGAAUUAUUGGGCGUAAAGAGCGUGUAGGCGGCUGAAUAAGUCAGAUGUGAAAUCCCUGGGCUUAACCCAGGAAGUGCAUUUGAAACUAUUCAGCUUGAGUAGGGGAGAGGAAAGUGGAAUUCCUGGUGUAGAGGUGAAAUUCGUAGAUAUCAGGAGGAACACCGGUGGCGAAGGCGACUUUCUGGACAGCAACUGACGCUGAGACGCGAAAGCGUGGGGAGCAAACA
rnacentral:rRNA from 1 species